rnacentral:rRNA from 1 species
CUUUUGACCUCGGAUCAGGUAGGGAUACCCGCUGAACUUAAGCAUAUCAAUAAGCGGAGGAAAAGAAACCAACAGGGAUUGCCCUAGUAACGGCGAGUGAAGCGGCAACAGCUCAAAUUUGGAAUCUGGCUCUUUCAGAGUCCGAGUUGUAAUUUGCAGAGGGCGCUUUGGCGUUGGCAGCGGUCCAAGUUCUUUGGAACAGGACGUCACAGAGGGUGAGAAUCCCGUACGUGGUCGCUAGCCUUCGCCGUGUAAAGCCCCUUCGACGAGUCGAGUUGUUUGGGAAUGCAGCUCUAAAUGGGAGGUAAAUUUCUUCUAAAGCUAAAUACUGGCCAGGGACCGAUAGCGCACAAGUAGAGUGAUCGAAAGAUGAAAAGCACUUUGGAAAGAGAGUCAAAAAGCACGUGAAAUUGUUGAAAGGGAAGCGCUUGCAGCCAGACGUGCCCGUGGUUGCUCAUCUGGGGAUCUCCCCAGUGCACUCUUCUAUGGGCAGGCCAGCAUCAGUCCGGGCGGUUGGAGAAAGACCUGUGUCAUGUAGCUGUUCUCGGGCAGUGUUAUAGGGCAGGUGGAAUGCGACCAGCCUGGACUGAGGUCCGCGCAUCUGCUAGGAUGCUGGCGUAAUGGCUGUAAGCGGCCCGUCUUGAAACACGGACCAAGGAGUCUAACAUCUAUGCGAGUGUUUGGGUGUCAAGCCCGAGCGCGUAAUGAAAGUGAACGGAGGUGGGAACCCUUGGGUGCACCAUCGACCGAUCCUGAUGUCUUCGGAUGGAUUUGAGUAAGAGCAUAGCUGUUGGGACCCGAAAGAUGGUGAACUAUGCCUGAAUAGGGUGAAGCCAGAGGAAACUCUGGUGGAGGCUCGCAGCGGUUCUGACGUGCAAAUCGAUCGUCAAAUUUUGGGCAUAGGGGCGAAAGACUAAUCGAACUAUCUAGUAGCUGGUUCCUGCCGAAGUUUCCCUCAGGAUAGCAGUAACGUUUUCAGUUUUAUGAGGUAAAGCGAAUGAUUAGAGGCCUGGGGGCUGAAACAACCUUCACCUAUUCUCAAAACUUUAAAUAUGUAAGAAGUCCUUGUUUCUUAAUUGAACGUGGACAUUUGAAUGU